rnacentral:lncRNA from 1 species
CGGCGGCCGGGGAGCCUCUGGGCGGCGGGCACGCGCGCGCACGCGAGGAGCGCGCGGCUGCUGGGCCGCCGUCCGGGGAGGCGUGGGCGAGCUGCGCCUGCCUGCCCAGAGCCGAGCCCGGCGGAGUCCGGCCGCGCGGUGCUGCUCUCUCCCGGGCCGGGCUCGUCCGUUCCCCCGGCGUCCGUGGACGCCGCUCCGUGUCCCCGCUGGGCACAGCAGCCCGGGCCCUCCACAGCCACGGCCGCUAGCCUGAGGAGGCCCUCCUUCAGCUCGCGCUCUUCCCGCUCGCCGGACCCGGACGACCAGGGCGCCCGCGAAGAUGAUUCCAUCUGGGAGAGAAAUGUUGCCAACGCCAUUCUACGUGAAUGAAGGUGUCUGGAGUGCUUGCACCCAGAGAAGGUUGUGAGAUCAUUGUCAUCACCCAGAAGUGGUAGCAGACACCUGCACUCACACUCAGAUGAAUCUGGGGCUGGCCUGGGACCUCGACGCAGACAUCUGGUUGCAGCCGAAAGACAUCGUCCCUCACCUUAAAUUAAGGACGUUAACGUGAAAUGGACUGGUCUUGUAGUUUUGUUUGUACUUGAUUUUUAAGUUUGUUUUGGUUUUAGAGUUGUGUAAGAGCUAAAAGAAUAAGGAAGUUUUACCAGGAUGUCUGUUUGUAAAUAUUUAAUUUAUGUUUGAAUAAAAGUAAUUCAAGUGACACUAGAGCUCCUGGAGCAGUUUCGGA